rnacentral:tRNA from 1 species
CAGGGAAUAGUUUAAUUAAAAUUUUAAUUUUGGAGAUUAAAGAUAGGAGGCCAUACUUCUUUCCUUGA